GAGUUUGGAUCCUGGCUCAGGAUGAACGCUAGCUACAGGCUUAACACAUGCAAGUCGAGGGGAAACGACAUCGAAAGCUUGCUUUUGAUGGGCGUCGACCGGCGCACGGGUGAGUAACGCGUAUCCAACCUGCCCACCACUUGGGGAUAACCUUGCGAAAGUAAGACUAAUACCCAAUGACGUCUCUAGAAGACAUCUGAAGGAGAUUAAAGAUUUAUCGGUGAUGGAUGGGGAUGCGUCUGAUUAGCUUGUUGGCGGGGUAACGGCCACCAAGGCGACGAUCAGUAGGGGUUCUGAGAGGAAGGUCCCCCACAUUGGAACUGAGACACGGUCCAAAACUCCUACGGGAGGCA
rnacentral:rRNA from 1 species